AACUUUUUAACUCUAAGCAGCAAUUGAGUGUAAAGGAGUUARAAUCCUUAAAAGGUAGAGACCUUAAAAGAUACC
rnacentral:tRNA from 1 species